CUUAAUAUUUGGGACAGUCAGACCCAUAAGUCAAGGGGUGCCUUAGCCUUAGCCUUAGGGAAAGGCUUUUUUCUGAAAAUCAGAUUCUUCAUUUAGCCAUUUUCUUUUCUCUCUCUAGAAAACCCUUUCUCCUAAUUUUUGUGCCUUCUCUCUAAAAUCCCAAAUCAUUACACCGAUCAAAUUUUGAUUUGAAGGUGUUUCCGCGCUCACUACACCAAGGGCUUCAAUUUGAACCCAACGUUUUUCUAUUCCGACCAGUAAGUGUGUUUUCUCCUUUUCUCCGCUAUUUUCCAAACUUAAGGCUUGGGGUUCUACUGAUUUUAUGCAAUUAGAACCUUCCUUUUUAUGAUUUCUAUUAUGUUCUAGCUCUAAGAGUUGUGUUCUAUCACCAAUUCGGUGAUUUGUAGGUUCUGUAAGCUCAACGCUGAGUGGGUUCCUGUAAGGGCGUUUUCAAUUAGCUGCUCUUUGAGAAAACCAGGUAAUGGGGGCUGAUUAUUUUCCUUUGAAUGAAAUGCUCAAAUAUGUUUAAUUAAUGUAUGUAUGUUAUACUCUAGAUUGAUGUACUGCUUUGGACUGUAUUUUUAGAUUUUAAGUUGACUUGACAACAUGAAUUGAAAUGUGCAAUUGGUGAGUGGAAUGUGGUAUUUAUGAAUGUGACUGGUGUGGAAUUAGUUGUUGUAAAUCUAAUGUAUGGGAAGUAGUUAGAAACGUGUAGGUUUUACUCUAGUUAUCAUAUUACUUUUGUUUGUUUUGGAGUGAAAAAGAUAAAAAAAAAAAAACAAAUGCUGAAAACAAGUUUAAGUUAAUAUAGUAUAGGUAUAUAUUUUAUAUAUAUAAGAUGUGAGAGAAAUUAGGUUUCAGAGGAAGAAAGAAAUAGUAUGAUGAGUUUUAGAUUUGAUAGUUUUCCUUUUAAUGAAAGUGUGGGGUAAUAACUGGAGGGCCCUGCAAUUAGGAAGAUGAGGAUGGAUGAAUGAUAUAUUAUACGAUAUAAUAUAUUACAGCAAAUGCUUAUUUUGGUUUUUUUUGUGGUCCUUAUAUAUACUAAAUAAUAAUAUCAUUUAAUACUAAUAAUAUAUAAUGGAUAUAUAACGUAUAAAAGGGGUUAAGUUAUAUAUGAUAUUAUAUUAUAUAUAAAUAUUAAAAUCAUAUUACUUUUAAAGUUAAUAGUUUACUGUUGUUAAAUUAUAUAUGAUAUUAUAUUAUAUAUAAAUGUUAAAAUCAUAUUACUUUUUAAAGGUAAUAGUUUACUGUUGUUAAGUUAUAUAUAUAGUAUUAUAUUAUAUAUAAAUAUUAAAAUCAUAUUACUUUUUAAAGGUAAUAGUUCACGGUUGGGGAAUUUGAAUUUCAUGAAUGUUAUAGUGUGCAGUGAAUAUUGAUAUAUCAGCGCUGUUAUUUUUUUUAUAAAUACCAUGUGGAGUGUUUAAAUUGAUAAAUUAAAUGGUGGUAUUUAUUAAAUCUAAUGCACUUUUAUUUGCUGAGUUAACAUAGAAUUAAGCAUUAUCAUAAUAUUUACUUAACAUGAUGAUACAAGAGAUUUUAGUUUGGCAUGUGAGGGGUUAUUAGGUAUAUAAAAUAAAUAAUAAAAGUUAAAUAUUUUUAUGUGUUGUAGUGUUAUUUUAUAUGAAAUCGAAAUGUUUUAUAUGGUGUAGAAAAACCUUGCGUUUGAUGAGUCAAUGUAUAGUACUGAGACUAUGUAAGAAAAGUAUUGAGGUUGUAUUAUAAGUUUUGUGAUUGGUGAGUAAUGUAUAUUGUUGAGAUUAUGUAUAUGUUGAUUGGGGCAAAAAGUAUAUGAUUACAAAGUGAUGAAAGUAUGAUCCAAGUGGUAAACCAAGUUCCAUCUAUGUAGAAUCUCUUGGUGAGAUUCUUAGUGUUUUAGAAUGAAAGUAGGAGCUCAGUCUUGGGGGUCUUCCUGACCUCCAAUGGUCUUUCCUCUCACGUAGAGAGGGUUGAACCAUGUGGUGAGGAGUAGCAGGAGAUCUUAGUUUUGGAGGCUUUCAUCAUGAUCCAAGGCGUGGAACAGACUAACCUCGUGAGUGUGGCAGGGCGGGGGAGCCCAAGGCGGGGGAACCCAAGGCGGGGGAGCCCAAGGCGGGGGAGCCUAAGUAUCACAAGCCACCACGGGUGCAUGACCCGCCAUAGCUCGACUCUCAUUCUAAAGUCUGGACGAGUCAAGUCUAGAAGAUAACAUGCUAGGAUUUGUGUUGUAUAUAUGGCCUUGCUUGCAUAUACUUUACUUGAGUUGAAUCUAGUAUGUUAAUGUUGGUAUAAUUGCAUGCUUUUUAUAUAAUUAGCUCACCCUUGCUUGCUUGUUUGUGUUGUGCUAUUUCUGCGUGUUUUCUCUUGCGAUGAUCAUCCACUUGGAUGGGAGCAGAUGGCGAGAAGGCUACUUUGGAAACAACUCUUGAUGGGGAUGACAGUGCUGCAGUCUUGUCUACUAGGCUUCACUUGAUUAGCCUUUUAUUUUGAAGAACUUAUCAUGUUCUAAGUUUUAAUUUCAUGUAUUUUCAGAGAGAAACUUUAGUACUCCACUUCCAAAUUUUAGAGUAUUAUUUAAGAAUGACUGUAAUUCUAUUACUCUUAACUGCUUUCUAGUAUUAUUAAUAGUGACGCC
rnacentral:lncRNA from 1 species